CACGUAGGGGGCAAGCGUUGUCCGGAUUUAUUGGGCGUAAAGAGCUCGUAGGCGGCUUAGUAAGUCGGGUGUGAAACCUCCAGGCUCAACCUGGAGACGCCACCCGAUACUGCUGUGGCUAGAGUCCGGUAGGGGAGCGUGGAAUUCCUGGUGUAGCGGUGGAAUGCGCAGAUAUCAGGAGGAACACCUAUAGCGAAGGCAGCUCGCUGGGACGGCACUGACGCUGAGACGCGAAAGCGUGGGGAGCAAACAGG
rnacentral:rRNA from 1 species